AUUGAACGCUGGCGGAACGCUUUACACAUGCAAGUCGAACGGCAGCACGGACUUCGGUCUGGUGGCGAGUGGCGAACGGGUGAGUAAUGUAUCGGAACGUGCCCAGUCGUGGGGGAUAACGUAGUGAAAAUUACGCUAAUACCGCAUACGAUCUAUGGAUGAAAGCGGGGGAUCGCAAGACCUCGCGCGAUUGGAGCGGCCGAUAUCAGAUUAGGUAGUUGGUGGGGUAAAGGCCCACCAAGCCAACGAUCUGUAGAUGGACGGAGAGGACGACCAGCCACACUGGAACUGGGACACGGUCCAGACUCCUACGGGAGGCAGCAGUGGGGAAUUUUGGACAAUGGGCGAAAGCCUGAUUCAGCCAUUCUGCGUGCAGGAUGAAGGCCCUCGGGUUGUAAACUGCUUUUGUACAGAACGAAAAGGUUUCUACUAAUACUAGGAGCUCAUGACGGUACUGUAAGGAUAAGCACCGGCUAACUACGUGCCAGCAGCCGCCGUAA
rnacentral:rRNA from 1 species